UACGUAGGGGGCGAGCGUUGUCCGGAUUCAUUGGGCGUAAAGCGCUUUUAGGCGGUUCGCUAAGUCGGGUGUGAAACCUCCAGGCUCAACCUGGAGACGCCACUCGAUACUGGCGUGACUAGAGUUCGGUAGGGGACCACGGAAUUCCUGGUGUAGCGGUGAAAUGCGCAGAUAUCAGGAGGAACACCAGUGGCGAAGGCGGUGGUCUGGGCCGAUACUGACGCUGUAGAGCGAAAGCGUGGGGAGCAAACAGG
rnacentral:rRNA from 1 species